UACGUAGGCACCAAGCGUUGUUCGGAAUUACUGGGCGUAAAGCGAGUGUAGGCGGUUUGCCAAGUCCGCUGUGAAAUCUCCCGGCUCAACUGGGAGGGUGCGGCGGAAACUGGCAGGCUUGAGUACGGGAGGGGAGAGUGGAAUUCCUGGUGUAGCGGUGAAAUGCGUAGAUAUCAGGAGGAACACCGGCGGUGAAGACGGCUCUCUGGACCGUUACUGACGCUGAGACUCGAAAGCGUGGGGAGCAAACAGG
rnacentral:misc_RNA from 1 species